AAGAAAAUGAUGAAAACAUCUCAAAGAAAUAUGAACAGAAUGGGCAAAGCUGGUGAGUCCGACCGUCAUAUUGGAAGCAAAAAGCCCAAACAUAUGUUCGCUGGAAAACGAAAAGGUGGAAAAACUCAGAGAAGAUAAAGUCGUUAUUUUAAUUUUUUACUUUAAAAGUAAUUUAUUAACCAAACGCAAUUCUGAAUGCAAUGAAAGUUUUUCAAUGAAACGUAAUUAUAUAUUAUUAACUGCUUGCA